GACGAACGCUGGCGGCGUGCCUAAUACAUGCAAGUUGAGCGAUGAAGAUUGGUGCUUGCACCAAUUUGAAGAGCAGCGAACGGGUGAGUAACGCGUGGGGAAUCUGCCUUUGAGCGGGGGACAACAUUUGGAAACGAAUGCUAAUACCGCAUAACAACUUUAAACAUAAGUUUUAAGUUUGAAAGAUGCAAUUGCAUCACUCAAAGAUGAUCCCGCGUUGUAUUAGCUAGUUGGUGAGGUAAAGGCUCACCAAGGCGAUGAUACAUAGCCGACCUGAGAGGGUGAUCGGCCACAUUGGGACUGAGACACGGCCCAAACUCCUACGGGAGGCAGCAGUAGGGAAUCUUCGGCAAUAGACGAAAGUCUGACCGAGCAACGCCGCGUGAGUGAAGAAGGUUUUCGGAUCGUAAAACUCUGUUGGUAGAGAAGAACGUUGGUGAGAGUGGGAAGCUCAUCAAGUGACGGUAACUACCCAGAAAGGGACGGCUAACUACGUG
rnacentral:rRNA from 1 species